GAAAUGCGAUAAGUAAUGUGAAUUGCAGAAUUCAGUGAAUCAUCGAAUCUUUGAACACACCUUGCGCUCCUUGGUAUUCCUUGGAGCAUGCCUGUUUGAGUAUCAUGAAAUCUUCAAAGUAAAUCUUUUGUUAACUCAAUUGGUUUCUACUUUGGUAUUGGAGGUCUUUGCAGCUUCACACCUGCUCCUCUUUGUUCAUUAGCUGGAUCUCAGUGUUAUGCUUGGUUCCACUCGGCGUGAUAAGUUAUCUAUCGCUGAGGACACUGUAAAAGGUGGCCAAGGUAAAUGCAGAUGAACCGCUUCUAAUAGUCCAUUGACUUGGACAAUACUUUUAUGAUCCGAUCUCAAAUCAGGUAGGACUACCCGCUGAACUUAAGC
rnacentral:misc_RNA from 1 species